UCAGCAACUUGGCCUUUUGGCUGAGAUCAAGUGUAGUAUCUGUUCUUAUCUGUUCAUGGCAGGUGGUGUGGUGGUUAAGAUGCUAGACUCUCA
rnacentral:snRNA from 1 species